GCCUCCUUGCCUUUGUUUUUAGCCAGGUGUUGCCCAUUUGGUCUUGUAUACUUGACUGAACUAACAAUUACAUUUCUCACAUGUGCUGUUGUUUGUUACUGACUUCUGGAGUGGCUUCAGUUCUGAGUUAGCAGGGUGUCUGGGGACCACAAUUUCCAGAGUUCCUUCAGUCUCUGUCAGAACAUUUUUCAGGUCAUAGCAGAAGGACAGCAUGGUGUGCCUGUCUCUAUCACCACAUUGGCUCUACCUCUCAAGGACUCAGUUGCAGAUGAUGUCCUCAAGCCAGGUCCUUGGAAGUCAACUCUGCGGAAAGAAAAGACACAAUUGAGAAAACUUCUAAAAGCUUCUAGGCUAACGGACCACAGCUUUCUCCCAUAUUUCUUCUCUUCCUGUGUCCUUCUUUGGUUUUUGGUGUUUAAAAAAUCUGCUUCCAGUCUACAUGAAUAGGCCUUUGCUGGGAACAAGGAAAGAAAGAAGGAAGAAAGGAAGGAAGGGAGGGAGGGAAGGUGGGAGAAGGGCUACUGAGAUCUUUACAUGGGUAAAGCAUUUGAUUUCCUCCAAAAAUGACUAUUUACUAACAUUAAAAAAAAUAAUCCAAGUUACCAGGAAAAUAUGGGGGGGGGGGAAGCUAUUUCCCCAUGCCAGGGAAAAAAUAUUUUAAGAAAGGCCUCUAUAAAAUAAUAUCCUUUAAUCAUUCUUAAUUUUAGUCAUUCCCAUGCCAUCUUUAGCAUUUUUGCCAUACCUAUUAUUUACUUACUAGUAGUUUAAAUUGCUUGUUAGGUUUACACAAAUUUUAAUUAAAAGGAAAUGUUACAUAAAUAAAAAACCGAUAUCAUUUUCCUUAAACAGAAGAUAAUAUUACUAGUCAACAGUGAACACAUCCCAUUGAAUUCUAAUCAGUUAAAUAGGACCUGCUGUGGGCUCUGAGCCUGAGGUCUAAUCUUGUUAUUUAAAAGGGAUAUUAGCAAGAAUUAGAGAGGACGUAAAGCCAUACUAGCUCCAAACUGGUAGGUUCUCCUCGAUUUACCCUUAAGGAGUAGAACAGACUUAAAAAAGAAAUACCUUUCCAAUUAUGAUUUGUAACUUGUUCAAUUUUGUGCCUAUGUAUCAGUCGUGGCAUCUGUCCCACUCUGAUCCAGCCCCAAGACAGGACUCUUAAGGACUGUGAAUUUCAAGUUAGAAAUGAAAGGAAAAAAUUCUAGAGCUUUCUGGUGAAGAAGGCCUCACCUUACAUUAGGGCUAGGCCCAGUUGGACAGAAGAUCCAGAGAGAGAAGGGGCACUCUCAUUCUUUCGUGUCUAUUAUUGCAGCUGUUCCUGAGCAAAUUGGAGACUCUCUGGAGAAGGACUGGGUAAGAAAUUUGGAACAUGGUGAAUGCAGCAUUCUACUUAACACAGGGAAACAUACUAUGUAUAUAUUAAACAUGGGUUCUUCCAGAGAAAAUUGUCAGGAUAGCUCUGUGGGAAGUCCUUUGUGUUGACUUGUAUGUUAUUAAGGUGAAACCGUUUUUCCCUCCUGAAAAUCCACAAAAAUCAGCUGGUUAAAAUACAGACCAUGUUCUAGAAGGAAUUUCAUGGGGAUGUAAAAUACUGGGACAACCAGAAAUCCCACGUUUUAGAUGUCUAGGCAUUUGACUCAUUCUUGUCAAGUGUCGGACACCAAUAAAUAAAAUCCUGGCUGACUGAAUGUGUAACCUUGUAAAUUGAAGUGCCCUUUACUCUGAAGAUCCGCAGUUCUUAUUUUGUUUGCCAUUUUAAGAAAUUGAGAAUCCCCCGAGUUUCAGAUCUCUAGAUAAAGUCCAUGGGGCAACCCAGGUUCUGGCUUUCACACUAUAAAUGUUAAAUUUAUAACAACUUUAUGUCAUGGGUGAGUCUAUGAAUAAAAGAAUUUGGGGAUUCUGAAUUUAUGAAUGAACAGGCAGCUUUGAACUCCUUAUGGGAGCAUGUACCAUAUGCCAUUCAAAGGUAAUUUCCCUUAGAUUUACAUUUCAUUUACUCGUCUUGUGCCUCUAAUUCCAAGUGCUGUGUCAGGCCUUGAAAGGAAAUAUAACAGUGAAUAGCAGUCCAGAGAAAGAACGAUAAAGCUGACAAACGGCAGCCUUCGCCCUAAAUCACAGGUUCCGUGGAGAGAAGUGGACCGUUAGAGCCUACACGUUGGAAAAAGAAAUGUAAAAGGAGAAAAAGGGAACAACAUUAAGAAACUUGCCAUGACUCCGUGAGACAGAAAAACAAAAUCACAUGGAAACCUGGCAUAAAAAAAGUGUCUGAUUUCGUGAAGCAAAAUCCUUAAUAAAUGUGCUAAAUGAAAAAAAAAAAAAAAAAAAAGAAUGAAAA